UUGAUAUCCCACGGGGAGAGACGAAAAAUAAAUACAUAAGUAAGAUGAGGAAAUGAGGUGAAAGUCCUCUUCUCAAAGACUGUGAAGUGGCAACAGGAGGAAACUAGGCAGGAGGGAAGAAGAGAAAGAGAAACUGACUGGCUCUAUGGAAAAUACUGUUUUUUUUCUUAUUCUAAUUAAGUGCAUUGAUCAAUAUUAGAAAAUAGCAUCUUUUUUUUUUUGAGAUGCUCAAUUAUUGUCACAUGCCACCCAUCUCACCUAACUGGACUUUUAAAGUGAUAGAGAAAAAGUGUGAAAUCUUGUGAAUUUACUUAGAUGAAAAAGGUAACUGGAAGUAAGUAGAGCACUCAACAUUAAAAGCUCUUUGCGAUCCCAAGAUCUCCAAGGAUGAAAAGCAGAGAUUGGAAUGCUUAGUGUGUACUUCUAAAAUCAGGGAAACUUUCAAAGCUGAAGAUGAGCAAUCCAGAUUUACAUGCUUGUAUUGUUAAAGUCACAGAGAAAAUAUGCUGGGAUAGCACCUGCAGAGAUCUCUAUUCCACAUUCCGCAGUUCAUAAUAAAUCAAUUCAACACCC